CGAAGUGUUAGUAANACAUUAUANAACUUUGUCAAAGUUAAGUUACAANUGAAAACCCUGUACACCUCA
rnacentral:tRNA from 1 species